rnacentral:lncRNA from 1 species
CAAUUUUAAAGAGUAAGAUUAAAGAAUCAAGAUGCAAAGAAGACAAAGGAAAAAUUUAUACCAAUAUCUAGAGGAAAAGCAUUCCAUGGAAUGGAAAAGGAAUAUAAAGAUCUUAAGGUACCACUUGGGAGCCUGGGGAUUGCAGUGCACAGUCUGCUACUUCCACCUCUGAUGUCCACACAUGCUACCUGGAGGCCCAAGGAUUGGCGUGAUGCUGCUGCUGUCUUUCUGAACACCAUGCACACCGCCCAGGGUCCUGAAGACCUGCCUGCAUGCCCAGUCCACUGCUGCCACUGCCAGAAAUUUAGCAAGCUGUCUGAAGGCACAAGGAUUGGCCUGCCCAGAACUACUACCACCAGUGCCCAUAUAUAACAUUUGAGUGUCCAAGGAUUGGCAUGCCAGGCCCACCAACACCUGAAGACAAGCCCCCCUGAUGUUCCUGCCUUCAGCAAUGCCUCAAUUUCAGCUUCCACUAAUAAGCAUAGCCUAAACCACUGAGAAACUCAUAAACACUACUGAUGCAGAUUAUAGUUGAGGAAAUUACACAGAGAUUACACUACUGUGCACACUCAGAUUCAAAGGGAAAGCACUUUAAGCAACUUACACUAUAAAUGAACCCAUAGAAAAAGUCUUCUACAAAAGCCAAUGCAUAGCAUUGGAAAGAGUGACUGUUAUACCUGAUGCCCAAAUAUCAAUGGAAGGACACAAGAAACAUAAAAAAGCAAGGAAACAUAACAACUCUAAAGAAACACAAUAAUUCUCCAGCAAGAGAUACCUAUGAAAAAGAAAUCUAUAAAAGGCCUGCAAAAGAAACUGAAACAAUGAUUUUUUAAAGAAACUUAGUGAGAUACAAGAGAACACAGAUAAUAAUACAGAGAAAUCAGAAAAACAAUUUACAAACUAAGUGAGAAACUCAAAAAAGAGAUAUAUACCAUAAGAAAGGACCACUGGAACUGAAUAACUCAAGGAAUGCAAUAAAAAGUGCAAAUGAGAACAUCAAAACUAGACUAGAUGAAGCAGAAGAAAUAAUUUCUGAACUUGAAGACAGAUCUUUUGAAAUAACUUAGACUAAAAAAAGAAAAGAAUAGGAAAGAGUAAAAUCUACAUGAGAUAUGGAAUACUAUAAAGGUACCAAAUAUAUGAAUUUGGGGUGUUCCAGAAGGAGAAGAGAAGGGCAAAAGCAUAGAAACUUUAUUUAAUCAAAUAAUAGCUAAACAUUUUACAAGUCUUGCAAGAGAUAUAGAAAAUGGAUACAGAAAGCUCAAAAAAAAAAAAAAAGUAAAAACAAAACUCCAAAUAGAUUCAGUUCCAAAAGAUCUUGUUCAAGGCAGAUUAUAGUCGAACGGUCAACAGUUUUAAUAUUUCUUUUCUUUGCUACUCUGAUUAUAUAUUUUCAAAUAAUCUGUCUUCAAGUUUAUAGAUUCUUCUGUUUUACCAGUUUUGCUGUUGAUGCUUUCUAUUGCAUUUUUUAUUUUGUUCUUUGUAUUUUU